rnacentral:rRNA from 1 species
UACGGAGGGUGCAAGCGUUAUCCAGAUUCACUGGGUUUAAAGGGUGCGUAGGCGGGCAGUUAAGUCAGUGGUGAAAUCCUAGGGCUCAACCCUAGAACUGCCAUUGAUACUAUCUGUCUUGAAUAUUGUGGAGGUGAGCGGAAUAUGUCAUGUAGCGGUGAAAUGCUUAGAUAUGACAUAGAACACCAAUUGCGUAGGCAGCUCGCUACACAAAUAUUGACGCUGAGGCACGAAAGCGUGGGGAUCAAACAGG